CCCAAACUAAGACAGUGGGACCCCUGCUAUUGCCCUCAUCUGAUGUUGACAAACGAGCUUCAAAGAAGAGUCAAGUCCAUCAGCUAGGACUCCAGGCCCCAGAGCUCCUUCCUCAGAACCCCGCAGUGCACCCAUAGCAACGGGGCAGCAAAGGCUGGAGCUCAGAAGCUUCCUGAGGGGCAGUGUGUGGUCCUCUGCCCAGUCCCCCGUAGUCUCAGGCUGGACGGGGCUGUGAGGAGUCAAUACAAUACCCCUCCUUUGGGCUGGACUUCUGGAGGAGACAGGGGAAGUGAUGUGAUCGUUUAGAAACCCAAGGGCCUCAAGUAGCUCCUGGCAAGAGAACUCACUCUAUCCCCCAGAGCACAGGAACAGGAGAGACUGUAUCUUGGCCUUUCAGCUAAGAACAAGUGAAGAUUACGGGAGACAUGACCCUAAGAAGUAGCAACAUGUAAAGUCUAGAAAACUGUUUCGUGGCAUCAUGGAAUUUGCAGACAAAUCAAUGGAACUAGAAAAAGUCAUCCUGAGUGAGAUCAGGAUGUAGAACUCUCAGCUCCUUCUCCAGCACCAUGUCUGUCUGUAUGCCACCAUGCUCUACCAUGAUGACAAUGAACUAGACCUCUGAAAAUGUAA